AACUUCGGUUAGUGUAAAUGAUAUUGAUGUUUUUUGUCAAAAAACAUCAAUAUCAUUUACACUAACCGAAGUU
rnacentral:pre_miRNA from 1 species